CUUUGACGUUGUCCGAAUCGCUCAUCCGUUGCGAGCGUGUCCAUCACGUAACACUAUAUCUAUUGGACUACUUCCUGUGUCCAUAUUAGAGAGACGUUGAAUUAUUAAUUGCUUUCUCACGAUUCAGUGGUUUAUUUUGGACUCAAAUCACAUUUUCUAUCAAGAAAGAAAGGAAUAUCAUAUAACUAACAUAAAGAGAUUGCUUCAUUAAAUAUAAAAAUGACGCCAUUUAAUCCAUUAAAUGUAAUAAUGUUAUUGUAUGUGACUUUUACUGCAUUAAAUAUUCCUCAGAGUCCGAUAACUUUGGAGGAACGGGAAGUAAAAGAGAAAAUUGAACACAUGUUACAAGAAAUAAGUAAUGAAAAAGUAUUAGAAAUAGGAGAAGAAAUAUCUCUAGAUUUUUAUGAUCCAUAUGAGACCUCCGAAGUUGAAGCAGUUGACUUACUUCAAAGUCAUGAAAAAAUAGAGUAUUUACCGGAAGAAGUAUUAUAUUCUACAGAAGCAUUACCAAUGGAAUAUAAAAGGAGUGCCGUGGAAUACUAGAAGAGCGGUAAAACGAAACGGAGAUCGUUAGAAGGAGUGAGACAAAGAUUUCGGAAAGUUGCAUCAAUACGACAAUUACGACGAUGGGAAAAAGAAAUCAAUCAAGGUAGUACUAGAAGUGAAAAAUUAAGACGAAUUUCCGAUUACGUAAUAAAUUGUUUCAAUGAAGCACUUGAGAAAGGAAUAAUUAUUCACGAUAUUGAUAACGCACGAUGGGCUGUCCGAGCACAAGAAGAAGAAAAUGCACCAGGAUUCACAGCUUCAGAGAUAUGGGUGAGAAGAUUUAAACUUAUGCAUAAUAUUGUAUCACGGAAAAUAAUAAAAUUUGUUAUUAAAAGUCUAUGUUAUCAGAAAUAGAUCCAGAAAAUAAAUGCGUAACAUUCAUUACAAAUGUAAAAUAUUACAUCGGUCAAUAUGGACUCGAAAAUAUUUAUAAUUCAGAUCAAAGCAGAUUCCAAUUAGAAUUUCAUGCCGGUUGUACUCUAGCGCGCAAAGGUACAAAAAAGGUACAAACUGUAGUAUAGUCAAUAUCAUCAACCACGCAUAGUUACACUAUAUAGCCGACCAUCACCGCUGAUGGUAGAUUAUUGUCGCCUCUUUCUAUAGUAUUAAAAGAAGUUGGUGGAAUAUUUGGUCCAAGAAAAUAUGCAGGAAAAUAUAUUUAAAGCACCUAAUAUUUAUACUAUGGCUUCAAAAUCAGGCAAAUUAACAUCGCAAUAUGUAAAAACUUGGUUAAAAGAUGUAUAUUUUCUAAAUGUUGUAGCGAAAUCAGUUUUACUACUAGACUCAUGGACUGGUCAGUGUCCUAAUAUUAUUGCAGAAACUAGAUCAGAAUUUGCAACAGAUAUUGUUUUACUAACUAUUUCGGCUGGC
rnacentral:lncRNA from 1 species